rnacentral:tRNA from 1 species
GGGGGCGUAGCUCACCAGCAGAGCGCUCGUUUGACAUGCGAGAGGCAAAGAGGGCAGCACUCUUCGCUCCCACCA